CUACGGGAGGCAGCAGUAGGGAAUUUUGGACAAUGGGCGCAAGCCUGAUCCAGCAAUGCCGCGUGAGUGAAGAAGGCCUUCGGGUUGUAAAGCUCUUUUGUCAGGGAAGAAACGGUUGAGGCUAAUAUCCUCGGCUAAUGACGGUACCUGAAGAAUAAGCACCGGCUAACUACGUGCCAGCAGCCGCGGUAAUACGUAGGGUGCAAGCGUUAAUCGGAAUUACUGGGCGUAAAGCGUGCGCAGGCGGUUUUGUAAGUCUGUCGUGAAAGCCCCGGGCUCAACCUGGGAAUUGCGAUGGAGACUGCAAGGCUUGAAUCUGGCAGAGGGGGGUAGAAUUCCACGUGUAGCAGUGAAAUGCGUAGAGAUGUGGAGGAACACCGAUGGCGAAGGCAGCCCCCUGGGUCAAGAUUGACGCUCAUGCACGAAAGCGUGGGGAGCAAACAGGAUUAGAUACCCUGGUAGUCCACGCCCUAAACGAUGUCUACUAGUUGUCGGGUUUUAAUUAACUUGGUAACGCAGCUAACGCGUGAGGUAGACCGCCUGGGGAGUACGGUCGCAAGAUUAAAACUCAAAGGAAUUGACGGA
rnacentral:rRNA from 1 species